AGAAAGGAGUGAAGAGAGGCUAUAAAAAGGGUGCUCAUCCUCUUUCUUCUCUUCUUUAUAAGCCAUAGAUAGAUUGAGAAAUAGAGAGUUUGUCAUAAAAAGAGUGCAUUCCCUCCUUUUGUGUUGUUACGUUGUAAACUUGACAGCGUCUCAUUUGCAAUAUGGGUAUAGUUAGUCCAAAUUAUGUGUUACUUAGUGGCUUUUGUAUUGUUCUAUAUAAAUUAGCAUUCUCUUAGUGUUUCGAGAAAUUUCAACAAUCAGUCCCCAACUUUAUAGUCUAGCAAAUUCACUUUCAACCAUUAAAAAAUACUUUUUAAUUCUCCACCAUUUACUUUCAUUUGCAUAUUUCCCCUUUUUUACAUUAUUUCGUUUAUUCCUUAAUUUCUUCCGAUUAAA
rnacentral:lncRNA from 1 species